CCUACGGGUGGCAGCAGUGGGGGAUAUUGCACAAUGGGCGAAACCCUGAUGCAGCGACGCCGCGUGGGUGAAGAAGCGCCUCGGCGCGUAAAGCCCUUUCAGCAGGGAAGAAAAUGACGGUACCUGUAGAAGAAGCCCCGGCUCACUACGUGCCAGCAGCCGCGGUAAUACGUAGGGCGCCAGCGUUAAGCGGAUUUAAUGGGUGGAAAGGGGGCGCAGACGGGGAUGCAAGCCAGGAGGGAAAGCCCGGGGACCAACCCCGGGACUGCCCUUGGAACUGGGUGGCGAGAGUGCAGGAGGGGUAGGCGGAAUUCCUGGUGUAGCGGUGAAAUGCGUAGAUAUCAGGAGGAACACCGGUGGCGAAGGCGGCCUGCUGGCCUGCAACUGACGCUGAGGCCCGAAAGCGUGGGGAGCAAACAGGAUUAGAUACCCCAGUAGUC
rnacentral:rRNA from 1 species